AAAUACCCUGCCUUAUUUGCACCAACUAACCAGAGUUCUCCUCUCUCCUGCAGUUCAGCCUGCUGAAGCCUUGGCUCCCUGCUGAGAGCAGGAGAAACUGCGAUCAGGAGCUCAGAUCCUGUAAUUUAUUUGAUGAAGGAACCAACUGUAUCUCCUGAGAAUCGUCCAGGCUGGAUUUCGCUGAUGACAUUCCCGGGGCCGAAGGAAAGGCAUCUCUAUGAACAGCGCACUUCCAACCGCAGAGCUCACUGGGUGUUUAGUGGAAUAUCGUGAACGCUGGUGCAUUACAUCCCCCACAGAAAAUGCCUCCUCAUCUGACUCACAGAGCCCCAGAGGCCAUGUUAUGAAGGCCUCAGCUCUGUAUCCAGGGGCUGGUUGCAUUGCAUGGCUCCAGGGGAGUUCAGAUUCCAAGAGCCCUAUUUCCAGUAUGUGGCACAUAGGAAAAUUGUUUUGUUCUUAAGAAAUAAAUGCUGAAGUAUUUCAGG